rnacentral:rRNA from 1 species
GACGGAGGAUGCAAGCGUUCUCCGGAAUGAUUGGGCGUAAAGCGUCCGCAGGUGGCAGUUCAAGUCUGUCGUCAAAGACUGGGGCUUAACCCUGGAAAGGCGGUGGAAACUGAAGCGCUAGAGUGCGGUAGGGGUAGAGGGAAUUCCCGGUGUAGCGGUGAAAUGCGUAGAGAUCGGGAAGAACAUCGGUGGCGAAAGCGCUCUACUGGACCGCAACUGACACUCAGGGACGAAAGCUAGGGGAGCGAAUGGG